rnacentral:rRNA from 1 species
GACAGAGGCCCCAAGCGUUAGGCGGAAUCACUGGGCUUAAAGCGUGUGUAGGCGGACUUCUAAGUGCCUUGUGAAAUCCCACGGCUCAACCGUGGAACUGCUGGGCAUACUGGGGAGUCUUGGGCCAUUCAGGGGGCAACUGGAACAAGCGGUGGAGCGGUGAAAUGCGUAGAUAUCGCUUGGAACGCCGAAGGUGAAAACAGGUUGCUGGGGAUGUGCCGACGCUGAGACACGAAAGCCAGGGGAGCAAACGGG